AAAAUCAGUAAACGGGGUAUUGACACGUGACUUUACCGCCUUUGUAUCGAUUUUGUAAUAAAUUUAAAAAAUUAAUACCAUAUGGUACAAAACUUAAUACUACCUAGUAAUAAAAUGAUUAGCACAUAGUAUUAUUUCAUUGCCGAAUCUAUACCAGGGUAUUACAAUCGUUUAAUACCAUAGAGGUAAAGUCACCUCAAUACCACUCAUUCUUUUAAAUACCCAGUUUCUAAGAGUGUGCACCCAAUUGAAAUAUAAAUUUUCCACGAUGGACGACGCACUCUCAAAGCCACUCGUAAGUUUUAGGAAAAUGAAAUUCAUUUCAAUACGACGUAGAGCAAAUUAGAGUUAUACAUAAAUAACAUCAAUUUAUGCACCUGGACUUUGUGGACCUUCCCACGAUUAAAUCUAUCCGCCUCGUGUCGCACGAUUGGUCUGAAUUCGGUGCAUCUUGGAUCAGUCGUCACAUGACGAAAAAAAUUACCACAAGGCUAACUUCAAAAGUGGCUUGAGCAUGUAUUGUGAUGCAUAUGCUGUCCAGGGACCAGAAGAAACCCUGCUUCUAGGAGGACAAAUUGCUCAGGACGAUUAUCCAAGUGCGCGAGAAAAUUCGACAUUUAGUCAUCGGCACGGAAUUAUCGGAAAGGCCGUAUUAUUUGGAUCCGUUCCUGACAGGGGGAUCAUUUAGGAUCCCUUGAAAAUUAUCAAGUUAUCAUGGUUAAAUUUUGACUUAUUUGAUCUUUUUAUUUCGAAAACUAAGAAUAUAUCAUCUCCAAAUUUUUGAUAUCUUAUAUGCGUAUAGUUGCUCUUCCAAAUAAAAAUUACUCUAGCCAAAA